UACGUAGGAUGCAAGCGUUGUCCGGAAUUAUUGGGCGUAAAGAGCGCGCAGGCGGUUUGGUAAGUUGGACGUGAAAUUUUAGGGCUUAACCCUAAAGGGUCGUCCAAAACUCCCAGACUAGAGUGCAGGAGAGGAAAGCGGAAUUCCCGGUGUAGUGGUGAAAUGCGUAGAUAUCGGGAGGAACACCAGAGGCGAAGGCGGCUUUCUGGCCUGUAACUGACGCUGAGGCGCGAAGGCUGGGGUAGCGAACAGG
rnacentral:rRNA from 1 species